rnacentral:rRNA from 1 species
AGUGAACGCUGGCGGUAGGCCUAACACAUGCAAGUCGAACGGCAGCACAGGAGAGCUUGCUCUCUGGGUGGCGAGUGGCGGACGGGUGAGGAAUACAUCGGAAUCUACUUUUUCGUGGGGGAUAACGUAGGGAAACUUACGCUAAUACCGCAUACGACCUACGGGUGAAAGCAGGGGAUCUUCGGAUCUUGCGCGAUUGAAUGAGCCGAUGUCGGAUUACCUACUUGGCGGGGUAAAGGCCAACCAAGGCGACGAUCCUUAGCUGGUCUGAGAGGAUGAUCAGCCACACUGGAACUGAGACACGGUCCAGACUCCUACGGGAGGCAGCAGUGGGGAAUAUUGGACAAUGGGCGCAAGCCUGAUCCAGCCAUACCGCGUGGGUGAAGAAGGCCUUCGGGUUGUAAAGCCCUUUUGUUGGGAAAGAAAUCCAGCUGGUUAAUACCCGGUUGGGAUGACGGUACCCAAAGAAUAAGCACCGGCUAACUUCGUGCCAGCAGCCGCAUAA